rnacentral:rRNA from 1 species
CGGUUUAAUUGGACUCAACGCCGGAAAACUCACCGGGGGUGACAGCAAGAUGUAGGUCAAGCUAAAGACUUUACCUGAAUCGCUGAGAGGAGGUGCAUGGCCGUCGUCAGUUCGUACUGUGAAGCAUCCUGCUAAGUCAGGCAACGAGCGAGACCCGUGCCCACUGUUCCCAGCAUGUCCUUCGGGAUGAUGGGUACUCUGUGGGGACCGCUGGUGCUAAACCAGAGGAAGGUGCGGGCUACGGUAGGUCAGUAUGCCCCGAAUCUCCCGGGCUACACGCGGGCUACAAUGGUUGGGACAAUGGGUCCCUACACCGAAAGGUGAUGGUAAUCUCUUAAACCCAACCGUAGUUCGAAUCGAGGACUGUAACUCGUCCUCCUGAAGCUGGAAUCCGUAGUAAUCGCGUUUCAACAUAGCGCGGUGAAUACGUCCCUGCUCCUUGCACACACCGCCCGU